rnacentral:rRNA from 1 species
GUGGGGAAUAUUGCACAAUGGGCGCAAGCCUGAUGCAGCGACGCCGCGUGGGGGAUGACGGCCUUCGGGUUGUAAACUCCUUUCGCCAAGGACGAAGAGGAAUUGACGGUACUUGGAGAAGAAGCACCGGCUAACUACGUGCCAGCAGCCGCGGUAAUACGUAGGGUGCGAGCGUUGUCCGGAAUUACUGGGCGUAAAGAGCUCGUAGGUGGUUUGUCGCGUCGUUUGUGGAAUACCGCAGCUUAACUGUGGGGUUGCAGGCGAUACGGGCAUAACUUGAGUGCUGUAGGGGAGACUGGAAUUCCUGGUGUAGCGGUGGAAUGCGCAGAUAUCAGGAGGAACACCGAUGGCGAAGGCAGGUCUCUGGGCAGUAACUGACGCUGAGGAGCGAAAGCAUGGGUAGCGAACAGGAUUAGAUACCCUUGUAGUCC